rnacentral:rRNA from 1 species
CCUACGGGAGGCAGCAGUAGGGAAUAUUGCUCAAUGGGGGAAACCCUGAAGCAGCAACGCCGCGUGGAGGAUGAAGGUUUUCGGAUUGUAAACUCCUUUUGUUAGAGAAGAUAAUGACGGUAUCUAACGAAUAAGCACCGGCUAACUCCGUGCCAGCAGCCGCGGUAAUACGGAGGGUGCAAGCGUUACUCGGAAGCACUGGGCGUAAAGAGCGCGUAGGCGGGAUAGCAAGUCAGAUGUGAAAUCCUAGGGCUUAACCAUAGAACUGCAUUUGAAACUGGUAUUCUAGAGUAUGGGAGAGGUAGGUGGAAUUCUUGGUGUAGGGGUAAAAUCCGUAGAGAUCAAGAGGAAUACUCAUUGCGAAGGCGACCUGCUAGAACAUAACUGACGCUGAUGCGCGAAAGCGUGGGGAGCAAACAGGAUUAGAUACCCCUGUAGUC